CUUCCCCUCCUCUUCCCUCAAGCCCCUGCCAUCUCAGCCACCAGCGUUUGGCUUUUUCCACUCUUGUGGCACAUUACUGUAACGCUAUUGUGAGACAACUCCCUGCCUCUUUUCGGCUCGGUAAAAAAACAACAACAGCAGAGCUCGGUAGCGUGAGUGUGUCAGUCAGUAAGGGAAACGACGCACCUCGCACAAAGAGACAAGAAUCAAAAAGUCCAACUCACUUCGCUGUGUCGGGGAGAAGGCAGAAAAUCGAGGAAGCGAAGACGAGCAGAAGGAGCAGAAAGCUUCUGCUGAGCACGAGCUGGCAGAGGGAGAAUGCGGCGGACCCGGUGGCGUUCGGACCUCGGCGUGCGGGUCGACCUCGCCGAAGAGGGACGAGCCCUCGCGAUAACUACUGCUGGCAACUAGUCAGCGAUCAAACGUAUUCUCCUACAUCAGCACCAUGUUUGUGUGGCCACAAAACUGCAGUAAAACGACACCGUGUGAUAUCAAAAAUAAAUAUUAAACAUCAAUCAAUGUGCACUGAAUGUGAUUAUGAGAUUAUUGAAUGUUGAUGUAUUUUAUUCUAUAUCAUUUAAUAGACUUAUGCAAUGACUGCAUUUUCAAACGUAUUUUUUCUUUUUUUUCAUAUUGUUAUAAUCCUUUUCCACACACACAAAAAAAAAAAAAAGGCUAUCAUUGUUUCUAUUUUUUGGGUUAUGUAGUUGCAUGAGGGGGUCAAAAUAUUACAAACAGCUCUCUGUGUGAUGCAGUCCGAUUGUGCACCAUUGCCAAUUACAAUAUUAAACAUAGUUAGAUGAAUUAAGUGGUCAUCGUUAAGAUUAAUUAAGUGGUCAUAGUGCAAAGCCAUCACCCCAGUAUUUAACUUGUCAUCAUAUUAAAUCAAUAAAUAUAUCCAGUCGUUUAUUUUAACAUAUUUGUAUUAACACCAGUCGUUUAUUUUAACAUUUUUGCAUUAACAUUUAAAUUCAGUUUUAACAGUAUCAAAUUACAUAUAAUUCAAUGAUGUGAAUAUUAAUAAUAACAGCAUUAAUAUUAAAAUAUAUCUAGCUCUGUUUGCCAACACCGUCCCAAUUAACCCCCCCACCCCCACCACCACCACCACAGGCCCCUUGUGGCAACUUUAACCAACCAGCUUUUUAGGACCGCAUGUUACAUGUGAAAAAUAUUUGGACUAAUUUCAUACAUUCAUAACGCUCACUGUGUUGGAAUGACAAUACAAUUGACAUUGCUUCAGCUGCUAUAUUUCUCCAAACUUGGCAAUACUAGCGGUCACCCCCCCCCCCCCCCCCCAAAAAAAAACAACAAAAAGAAUCAUUUGAUGGUGUAACUCAGUAAUAAAUGAUUUUUACACCAAGUGCCUACAUAACGACCAACAUUAAAAUAAAGUAGCUAGUAACUAGUUUAAAAAUGAGACGGGUUUUAUUCCUAAGAAUUAUAAUUACUAUUCGAAGUCACUGUAACAUUCAGUUUCAACAUUUAACACUGAGCUUAAAUGUAGGAAUAUAAAAAAAUGAUACACUAAACAACUACCUACAAAAAUGUUUUAACAAACAUCUAAAGAGUAAAUCCAAAUUUAUUGAAAAUUAAAGCUAAAUACAAAUUAAUUGAUUGAUUCUUUCACGUAUCACUAGAGGAAGCCCGUGUACUACACUAUGAGAAUCACUUAUAAAUAAUAUACAUACAGUGACGUAACCUAAGAUGUGAUACCUAACACACAUGGCUAACCGUGCAAAUGCAGUUGCGCUUUCGGUGUCUGUUCCAUGAAUAUUUUCUUGCUGUUAGUGCUAUGAAUCCGUCAUACUAGUCAAACAGUGUGAAUGUAUGACCUCCCGAUUUGGAUCAGCAAAUUGUAAACCGUCAGACACACCCCGCCUGCAUAUAGCCGAAUUGUUCCAUUGAUUACGAUCUAUUCAGUGAGAAAUGUGACAACAUUUUGAGAAAGCGAGGGGUUAAUUCAUCCUGGAUGGUGGAAGACGGAGCAUGCACUAAAUACAUCGAGGUAGAAAUGUAAUUGCACUUAUAGUUAGCAGUAAGAUGCGAUGGUAACCAGUUCUUUUCAAUUAGUCACAAUACAUAGAGCUCUUUGCUUGAUGAGAUAUAAAAAAGAACGAAUGAAAUCACCAACAAGGCAUGGUGAUAAUUGACCCAUGUUAAGGCUAUGCCUGGAUGGAAAAUUUCAUAUCUGGUUAGAAAUUGUGCUUCAAGUGCAUCCAUUUUGUUACAUUGAAAUUUGUACGCAAUUUUGAAGGCAGUGUGAUAUUAAUGUCGGGUGGGCUUUUUGUGUAAAAGCUACACAAUCACAGGUUUGACGUCAGCUGCCAUUUUGGUCAUUCGAGUGUCUUUUUACGGGCAUAUUGAAAUUAGCAGGAGCAACAUAAGGUUCGAGUUUGGUUGCUGCAGAAACUUGACCGUAACCUUUGAAAGUUUGUGUGCAAGUGGAAGUCUUUUUUGAUCGUAACCUUUGAAAGUUUGUGUGCAAGUGGAAGUCAUUUAUUUGAUUUUUUUUUUAAAUAUUUCAUUUCAAAAUGAUAGAAUACGUAAUCAUGUUUGCCCUUUGAACGGAACAUCAACUGGUUUGCGGGUGUGUUUCAUAUGCAGCAAAACCUCCCUUCUGGUGCAUUUCAAUUAUUUACAUUUGAAGCACUAUACUGGAAUAUUUUUAAAGUAUUUGUUUAAGAUAUUGUAUUGUGUGUUAGGAAUAGUAUUUUUAAUUUUGUUAUGUUAAGUGCUUGUUUAGUGUUUGUUUGCUUGUAAACCAACAGCUUUGUUACAUUGUAAUAUAUAAGUUAGCCAUGUGUGUGUGUGUAUUAUAUAUUUUUUUAUUGUGAAUAAUGCAUGGAUGUACAGUGCUACUGUAUUAUUAUUAUUUUUUUUUUACAUUGAUACUAAAAACAAAACUUCCAUUUUGGGUACAUUCUUCA